GUAGUUUUAGGCGAUGGGGUUCGCCUGAUAGCUAGACUGCCAAUGCGGCUGAUAACUCCUAUUGUUCC
rnacentral:ncRNA from 2 species